rnacentral:lncRNA from 1 species
GGUUCGAUCGAAAUGGCCCUGCGGCCAUAGCCAAAUACCAAGCUGAUCAUGCCACCCCAGGGAUGAACGAGGGAUCUAAUCCAGUUGGUCCUACGCCUCACACCUUGCAAGAGCUUCAAGAUACCACCCUUGGUUCGUUAUUGUCAGCUCUGAUGCAGCACUGUGAUCCUCCUCAGAGAAGAUUCCCAUUGGAGAAAGGUGUUUCGCCCCCGUGGUGGCCUACAGGGGAGGAGGAUUGGUGGCCUCAGUUGGGUUUGCAGAAGGAACAAGGUCCUCCGCCUUAUAAGAAGCCUCAUGAUCUGAAGAAAGCGUGGAAGGUUGGUGUCCUCACAGCAGUAAUCAAGCACAUGUUCCCCGAUAUUGCUAAAAUCCGUAAGCUUGUAAGGCAGUCAAAGUGCUUGCAGGAUAAGAUGACAGCCAAAGAAAGUGCAACUUGGCUUGCCAUCAUCAGUCAGGAGGAAGCUUUGGCUCGAGAACUCUAUCCUGAUCGCUGUCCGCCCUUGUCCUCCGCUGGUGCUAGUGGAACAUUCAUGUCGAAUGACAGCAGUGAGUAUGAUGUUGAAGGUGUUCAAGAGGAACCCAACUUUGAUGUUCAUGAGCAAAAACCAAACCAUCUCAGCUUGUUGAAUGUUAGUCUCGAGAGAUUGAAGGAGACGCUGCCUCUGCAGCAACAAUCUCAUCCAAACAAGGAUGAAAUGAUCACAGGCUUAGACUUCACCCGGAAGAGGAAGCAAUCCGGUGAACAGACUGUUACAAUGGACCAAAAGAUCUAUACGUGCGAGUUUCUUCAAUGUCCUUACAGUGAACUUUGCCAUGGUUUUCAGGACAGAUCUGCCAGAGACAAUCAUCAAUUAGCUUGUCCUUUCAGAAAAACUUCCCAAUUGGGAAUCUCAAACUUUCACGUGAACGAGGUCAAGCCAACUGUCUUCCCUCAACAAUAUGUCCAAUCAAAGUCAGCUGCUCUGUCUGUCAAUCCUGGACCAGGUCCACCUUCCUUUGAUCUAUUUGGAGUAGGAGUUCCUGAAGAUGGGCAAAGGAUGAUUGAUGAGCUAAUGUCAUUCUAUGACAGUAAAAUACAUGGAAACAAAAGCCAAAAUACGGGAAAUGUUGCACUGACCAAAGAGCAGCCUCAUCAACAACCUCGUCUCAACCAGGACAAUUACCUACACAGCCAAGGGAUGAUGGAAAGGAAUAUCUUCAAAGACACAAAUAUUUCUGCAAGCCACCCUAUACUCCCACAAGGCAAUCUAGCUGAUCAGUGUAAGGUUCU